rnacentral:rRNA from 1 species
GACGAACGCUGGCGGCGUGCUUAACACAUGCAAGUCGAGCGGUAAGGCCCUUUCGGGGGUACACGAGCGGCGAACGGGUGAGUAACACGUGGGUGACCUGCCCUCAGCUCUGGGAUAAGCCUGGGAAACUGGGUCUAAUACUGGAUAUGACUCCACGGUGCAUGUCGUGGGGUGGAAAGCCUUGUGCGGCUGAGGAUGGGCCCGCGGCCUAUCAGCUUGUUGGUGGGGUGANGGCCUACCAAGGCGACGACGGGUAGCCGGCCUGAGAGGGCGACCGGCCACACUGGGACUGAGACACGGCCCAGACUCCUACGGGAGGCAGCAGUGGGGAAUCUUGCGCAAUGGGCGAAAGCCUGACGCAGCGACGCCGC